GAGCAGGCACCAUGGUGGAUCUGUCAGCUCUGGGCACCAUUGCGGAGUAGGGAACCCAGGAGGACGUGGCGGAGUAGGGAACCCAGGAGUUCGUGGCGAAGUAGGGAACACAGGAGGACAUGGUGGUGCAGGCAGUUCAGGAGGCCAUGGCGGAGCAGCUUUCGAGGCUGCAGCCCCAGCCCCCGCCUCUAUGGCUGGAGCCCUACUACUCCCCCCCC